UGGUUGUAGCAAUAGAAAUUUUAUAGAAGCUAACUGGCCGGUUGUUGUUAAUUCAGUCAACAAUUAUGCUUACCGAGCUUCUUACAAUA